AAUCUUACGCAAUGGGCGAAAGCCAAACGCAGCCAUGCCGCGUGAAUGAUGAAGGUCUUAGGAUUGUAAAAUUCUUUAACCGGGGACAAUAAUGACGGUACCCGGAGAAGAAGACCCGGCUAACUUCGUGCAAGCAGCCGCGGUAAUCAGAAGGGGGCUAGCGUUGCUCGGAAUUAAUGGGCGUAAAGGGCGCGUAGGCGGACAUUUAAGGCAGGGAUGAAAUCCCAGAGCUCAACUCUGGAACUGCCUUUGAUACUGGGUGUCUUGAGUGUGAGAGAGGUAUGUGGAACUCCGAGUGUAGAGGUGAAAUUCGUAGAUAUUCGGAAGAACACCAGUGGCGAAGGCGACAUACUGGCUCAUUACUGACGCUGAGGCGCGAAAGCGUGGGGAGCAAACA
rnacentral:rRNA from 1 species